UGAGAGGCUGUGUGGGCAGGAAAGCUGUCAGCUCUCUGUCUCUGCUAGUCUGAAAUGGGCAUAUUUCUGUGGAAUAUUUUAAUUUCAGAUAAUGGUUUUUACUUGUAAAGCGCCUCAUGUGAAACUGUCUGAUGAGCAUAUAGCUGUACUGUUCUGUCUCAGCACGAUGAAAUGUUUGCUGACCUGGCACAUUGCAGGUGAUUAGUAGUGUUUGCUGUUGGAACAAAGUGCAGCUAAUCAUGGUCAUAUUUGACCAAAAUAAGGUCUUUGGAGGCAGGGAAUGUGGACGUGUCAAAGUUUGCAGAUAAAAGGAGGGAGCAGCACAGCUGGUUGUGUGAGAUGGAACAUGAAGCAGCAUGUACUGAAAGUUUCAGGCCGGAGGUUUUCCUGUGCUCUCCGUAGCUGCUGCCCAGUGCUGCCCUGAGGAGAAGCAGUGUUGUGAAGGCGGGUGCUGCCCUGAGGGAAAGCAGUGGGAAGGCUGCUGCUCCUUGCCUACAGGGUGUCAGGGCCAGGCUCAUCGCAAGGCCUGCUGG
rnacentral:lncRNA from 1 species